CAUCGCCUCUUGUUAAACCGAAUGUAUAAGAGGUGCCACCUGCCCUGUGACUAUAUGUUUAACGGCCGCGGUAUUUUGACCGUGCGAAGGUAGCGCAAUCACUUGUCUUUUAAAUGGGGACCUGUAUGAAUGGCAUAACGAGGGCUUAACUGUCUCCUCUUUCAAGUCAAUGAAAUUGAUCUCCCCGUGCAGAAGCGGGGAUUACUUCAUAAGACGAGAAGACCCUAUGAAGCUUUAGACACUAAAGCAGAUCAUAUUUUUUUAAAACCCUCAACAACAGGGGCUAUAAAUUACCGAAUACUGCCCUAAUGUCUUAGGUUGGGGCGACCGUGGAGAAAUAAAAACCCUCCAUAAGGACCGAAUGUACUACAUUCACAACCGAGAGCGACAGCUCUAAGUAACAGAAUUUCUGACCGAUAUAGAUCCGGCAAUGCCGAUUAAUGAACCAAGUUACUCUAGGGAUAACAGCGCAAUCUCCUCUUAGAGUCCAUAUCGACGAGGAGGUUUACGACCUCGAUGUUGGAUCAGGGCAUCCUAAUGGUGUAGCCGCUAUUAAGGGUUCGUUUGUUCAACGAUUAAAGCCCUACGUGAUCUG
rnacentral:rRNA from 1 species